GACGAACCACACGAACGUUAUUCGGAAUUACUGGGCGUAAAGAGUGCGUAGGCGGUUUUCUAAGUUUGGUGUGAAAUCUCCCGGCUUAACUGGGAGGGUGCGCCGAAGACUGGAAGGCUUGAGUAUGGGAGAGGUAAGCGGAAUUCCUGGUGUAGCGGUGAAAUGCGUAGAUAUCAGGAGGAACACCUGCGGUGUAGACGGCUUACUGGACCAUCACUGACGCUGAGGCACGAAAGCGUGGGUAGCAAACAGG
rnacentral:rRNA from 1 species